GCGGCGGUCAUCACGUCACCGCUAGACAACACUCCUGCAUGAAAAUCACUGAAACGGGCCCGAAAUGAUGACAACUGACCUCAACUGCCCAAGACAACAUGACUGGUGACCCACUAUUACUUUCUGAAGUCAUUGGGAAAUGGAACAUCCCUAAGUAGAGUGCAGAAAUAUUGAAAAACAAAGAAGGAUGAUCGCCGAUGCUCCUCUGAUGUCAACUUUAUCAUCAUGUUGUGCGACUGAGUGGAGGAAGUGUGACGUUUCUGAAAAGACUAUUCUUCAAUCAAGACUGCGGAUAUCCGGGUGAAAAUUAAGGGUCCGAUGCAAAUACCCAGCUGCAGCUCCCUGACAUGAGGAACAUUCUCUCGUAGUGUACCCGCUGCUGUCAAGCCAUGCUCGUCGCUGAUGAUCUCCCAGGACUGGAAGGUAUUCCGGGGAUCAGUGCCCCCGCGGCCCGGUCCACGACCAGGCCUCCCGGUGGAUCAGGGCCUGAUCAACCAGGCUGUUACUGCUAGCCGCACAUAGUCCAUCGUAUGAACGACAGCCCGGCUAAGGUGAGUCAUAGAAUUGAUGAGGGGAAAAAGGCGAGUGAUGCACUGAGGAAUCUGUGGAGAUAAUGUUAUCCAUGGUAGCAAAGGGGGAAAUGCAUGAGAGUACAGUGGUAUCAAUGUUCUUAUAUGGUUGUGAAGCAUGGGUGGUGAAUAUUGCAACAAGAAAGCAGGAAGCAGUGGAGAUGUAAAUACUAUGCAGAGAAUCCAUAGCUUAGGGAUUUGGAGGUGCGGGGUUGCUAAAGGUAUUAUUAUCCAUAGGGCUGAAGGAGACAUUUAGAAACGAUGAAAUGAAAUAGAAUGAGUUGGAGGGUGUAUAAAUCUAGUGAAAGGAAGGCAGGGUAGGGUUCGUCCUAAGAAAGGUUGCAGGGGGGGGGUUAAAGGUUUUGUGUGUGAGGGGCUUAGACUUCCAGCAAGCAUGCGUGAACAUCUUAGGAGUGGAGGCCAAUGGGUCUUGACACUUGACAUGCUGGUGGGGUGCGAGCAAAGUAACACUUAUCAAGGUAUUCGGGAAAACUGGUUAGCUGGACUUGAGUCCUGGAGGUGGGAAGUACAGUACCUGCACUCGAAAGGAGAGGGUGGAAAUAUGUUGCAGUUUUUUAACUGUAGUGUAGGCGCACCUCUGGCAACACAGUAAUGGAGUGAAUGAUGAAAGUGUUUCUUCUUUUUCGGGUCACCCUGCCUCGGUGGAAAAUGACUGAUGUGUUUAUAUAGCAGUAUUGAGUCCUGCUGACUGGGAUCUUUCUCUGUAUAUACCCGCUUGUUUCUGCGCGGUGCAUAGAUAUAAAAAUCGCUUGAGAGAUCAGAAACAUACAGGAGGAGAUUGAAAUAGCUUAAAAUUCAUGCUUGAGGCUCACUGACGUGCCUGGGCUGGGAAAGAAACAUGGCCAAUGAACCAGGCUCCCCAACUUAUGUGGCAGAGUGUAUGAGAGUGCUGCCUGGGAAUCUUGUCCAUCCCAGUAGCA